rnacentral:lncRNA from 7 species
AGUAAAUAAAAUUAUUUUUUCUUAAGUACUGUUCUAUCCCUUAUGGUGAUUGUUAAGUUACUUCUUGCUCUUUCUCCUUGAUAACAGUCUUUUCCAACUUAUUUUCUCCCCUGUCCUUGCUAAAAAGAGGGAUUGAGAAAGUGACUAGUUGAGAUGUACUCAGUGCCAUUUCAUUGGAUUUACUAAUCAGUGGUUCCAGAUAAGAAGGAUACACUUCUAAUCAAGACAGUGAGAAAAGAUACAGAGAGAUUAAAUGUGCAGAGUCUUGGAUGUUCUCCUGAUAGGUGUUGAGGAAGGUGCUGAAGAUAUUAGAAGAACAUAUCUGCAACAAAUCCUAAUAGAGCUCUUACUAUGUUCUGAUGCAUUCGUGUGCUAACAGGAGGGUAUAUAUUCAUUGCCAUAAGGUUGGCUAUAAGGGUGAACAUUAUAUUUUCAGUGAUAAGUACAUUUAUUUUUAUAAAAUCUUUUAAUACAUACUGAAUAGUCUUCAAUAACAACGUGUAAUCUUGACCUGGAUGAUCUUAACAUAGAUACGUAUAAAUAGAUACAGAUAUGUAUAUAUCUGUGAGAUUGUAUCUUUUUAUCUGUAUAUGCCUCUGCGUGUAUGUAUAUGAUAUAGUCCUCUUGAAGGAAUUGUUUUUGUAUAUUAGGAAAAAAAACAUCCAGAAGAGCUCCACGUUCUGCAGAAUUCCAGUGUCCUAGGUAUUCUUUUGUGUGAUUGACUAUCUUGUUUUAUAUUUAAUAUGCAGUCAUAUAUUUAGAGUUAGGCACUAAAUGACAAAUCUUCGCUGUAAACUAAGUAUGUUACUGUAAUCUGAACAGAUUUGGUGAAACAUGAAGUAAAUCAGUAAAACUAAGCUGGGAAAAAACAGCAUUCUUUACCCCUCCAGAAGAAAAGUAAAAAGUGUGUGACCAUAUUCCUACCUCCUUAUGACAACUCAGAAAAUUCAUCUCAUGUUCAUCAAAAGCAAAGGAAUUAUUCAUAGGUGGAUAACUCGUUUCUUAUUUUUAUGCUGAUUUCACACAAAACAAAGCCUUGCACAGCUGCUCUUUGGAAGAUAAAAAGGAUUCAAAUUGCUGUAGCAGACGUCUGAGUGGAAAUAUUUUCAGAUGUUCAGCAAAUCAAAUCACAUGGGGAAAGGGCAGGUUUUAUUUGCUGUGGAUUUUUUGCCUCCAGAAAUAUUAUACCAUUUGCUUAUUCUUAAGUGAUUAGCUCUUCCUCAUAAGUAGAGGGUUUUUUUGUUUGGUUGGUUUUUUGCUACUGUAUAAUGCAUGGAAUGAAAGAAUAAAUAAAUAGU